AGAAGCGAAAAAAGUCCCGGACUAGGAUCAAUAAUGAAAGAAAUCAGAACUAAAUAAUAUGCAGGAAAUUGAAACUGGUCAAUGGUUUGCCACUUAACCUAUAUAUGUGAAAAGCCAGGUCACAACUUGAGUGCUCCAUCUAAUUCAUCUGGGUCAUGCUUCUCAGCAGUCAUCUGGGCAUGCCGCAACGGCAGCUUUGUGUACAACCUCUCCUGAUGCCAUUGAAGAUCGGGAUAUGAUUGUCCAAACUCAACCAUUAAUUUCUGCUCUCAUGAGCACUGGAUCACAUAUGACCUCAAACCCACAAAUUUACCUGCGGAAUGUUACUACUUACAAGUUACAACUCAGAUGAUG